UACGUAGGGCGCAAGCGUUAUCCGGAAUUAUUGGGCGUAAAGAGCUCGUAGGCGGUGCGUCGCGUCUGCUGUGAAAACUCAGGGCUCAACUCUGAGCUUGCAGUGGGUACGGGCACGCUAGAGUGCUGUAGGGGAGACUGGAAUUCCUGGUGUAGCGGUGAAAUGCGUAGAUAUCAGGAGGAACACCAGUGGCGAAGGCGGGUCUCUGGGCAGUUACUGACGCUGAGGAGCGAAAGCAUGGGGAGCAAACAGG
rnacentral:rRNA from 1 species